rnacentral:rRNA from 1 species
AUUGAACGCUGGCGGCAGGCCUAACACAUGCAAGUCGAGCGGAUGAAGGGAGCUUGCUCCUGGAUUCAGCGGCGGACGGGUGAGUAAUGCCUAGGAAUCUGCCUGGUAGUGGGGGAUAACGUCCGGAAACGGGCGCUAAUACCGCAUACGUCCUGAGGGAGAAAGGGGGGGAUCUUCGGACCUCACGCUAUCAGAUGAGCCUAGGUCGGAUUAGCUAGUUGGUGGGGUAAAGGCCUACCAAGGCGACGAUCCGUAACUGGUCUGAGAGGACGAUCAGUCACACUGGAACUGAGACACGGUCCAGACUCCUACGGGAGGCAGCAGUAGGGAAUAUUGGACAAUGGGCGAAAGCCUGAUCCAGCAAUGCCGCGUGUGUGAAGAAGGUCUUCGGAUUGUAAAGCACUUUUAGUUGGGAGGAAGAGCAGUAAGAUAAUACCUUGCUGUUUUGACGGUACCAACAGAAUAAGCACCGGCUAACUACGUG